rnacentral:sRNA from 1 species
UUUUUUUUUUGGUUAAAACUUUAUGACUCUAUAACUUCUAUACCAUGAGGCCAAACUUGGCAUGUGAUACCUUUUCGGAAAGCCCAAAGAGAGCCUCCGACGAAAGAAGCAAGACAAUGGAAUUUUUCCAUUGACUUUUUGUGGACUCCAAAUUUUGACCUUUAAGUACUUUUUCGGGCAUUUUCGUGAUUUGUACUAUAUUACGGACCCAAAAUUACUUUUUCAAGCAUUGUUUUCGAAUAUUUUUCACUCAUCAAAGCUCGUUAAGACUAGAUGCGGCUUCUACUUGUCUGUUCCCGUGUA